GAUGAACGCUGGCGGCGUGCCUAAUACAUGCAAGUCGAGCGAACAGACGAGGAGCUUGCUCCUCUGACGUUAGCGGCGGACGGGUGAGUAACACGUGGAUAACCUACCUAUAAGACUGGGAUAACUUCGGGAAACCGGAGCUAAUACCGGAUAAUAUAUUGAACCGCAUGGUUCAAUAGUGAAAGACGGUUUUGCUGUCACUUAUAGAUGGAUCCGCGCCGCAUUAGCUAGUUGGUAAGGUAACGGCUUACCAAGGCAACGAUGCGUAGCCGACCUGAGAGGGUGAUCGGCCACACUGGAACUGAGACACGGUCCAGACUCCUACGGGAGGCAGCAGUAGGGAAUCUUCCGCAAUGGGCGAAAGCCUGGCGGAGCAACGCCGCGUGAGUGAUGAAGGUCUUCGGAUCGUAAAACUCUGUUAUUAGGGAAGAACAAAUGUGUAAGUAACUUUGCACGUCUUGACGGUACCUAAUCAGAAAGCCACGGCUAACUACGUG
rnacentral:rRNA from 1 species